rnacentral:misc_RNA from 1 species
AAGUCGUAACAAGGUUUCCGUAGGUGAACCUGCGGAAGGAUCAUUAACACGUAUCCAAACGUUAAAACCCCCCCCGUGAACAUUCAAUCCUGCUCUUGUAACCCGCGGCGCUUGCAAUCUCUGGUAAAUCAAUGUGGGAGGAAAGCAGUUUGAUUCAGAGACCUCUGGCCCGUGAGAAAAUUGGAACAGUUACAAUUCGAGCGGUAGGUUUAUAGGCCUUGUUUCCCCAAGCAGUCAGUGUCUGAAAGCGUCAUUGAUUGUGCAAGGAUAGCGCUUCACGAUUCCUGUAGACCGUACACUCGGGCAGGAGCUAGGUUGCAAAGCUCAAUGUAAUACAUUGGGUAAAAAAACUUGAACAACUGUUAACAAUGGAUAUCUUGGUUCUC